UCUCCUGUGCUGCCGGAAGCCUGGCUCCACUCCCCCUAGGCCCAUUUAAGAGCUGGCUACCAGUGAGGAAGGAUCUCUUCUGGAGAUCUGCUCUGCUGGAGUUUUGUAAGUGAGCCUGGGCUACGGCCAUGUGUUCUUGCAGGUGGCGAGCACAAACACAGACCUGACUACAGUCAUCCAGUGGACUUAAAAUGUAAUGAGUUGCAAUAACUGCUUUGCAGAAAAGUAGGAUUCAAGUGCUCUCAAAAGCAUCGGUGAGCACUGGACAUCCUCAUCUCCAGUGUGACUGCAGAUCACAGCAUGCCCUCAGUUUCAAAAGAAAGGAUAACAGCUUCAAUCCCCUUUUCUUUCAGCCACAGCAACCUGUCACUCAAGAAGUCUGUGUGGGAACUGCUGAGUCACAGCCUGAACCUCUGAUUGAUCACCUGAGAUGAGCACUGAGUCAGCCACAGGAGCACAGGUGAAGGCAAUUCUCCUGUGCUGCCAGAAGGGAUGGAGCCUGGCUGCACCCCUCCUAGACCUAUUUAAGAGCUGGCUACCAGAGGGGAAGGAUCUCUUCUGGAGAUUGCCUCUGCUGGUGUUUUGUGAGUGAGCCUGGGAUAGGGUCCCACAGGGGUUGCAACUGCACAUUUCUGGAACCUGUGCUUUAUGUUUCUUCACUGCCAUACACAAGGAAAUAAAUCCCCUACAAAACCAAAGAGGAUGGAGAACAUGGUUCAGAGACGGCAUAGUUGCAGUGCGUUUAUCCUCACACAGACAGAAGCAUGACAGGAGAGGAGAGGAGACGUCAAAGAGAUUCUGCCAAACAGAGGAAUAUGGAUUUCCUCGCUCCCCUCACCAGCUGAUAUUUUCAAGAAGAUGCAAGGUUUUGCAAUGCACAAAUGCAUUAGCAAUGCAAAGAGAAUGGGAAAGGCUCUGACAUUUGCUGAAGUUCCAUUAAAAUGGUUCAGGUUGUGUAUACAGGAGGGGAAGAAUUUGGGGACUGGCUGGCUGCCCUAAAAAGCACGCAUUUUACAGGCUGCUGUCGGUGCUUUACCAGCAACUUCUCCUCCAUCUACUGCAACUCAGAAAAUAAUUUGUUUUAUCAUAGCUCACAUUCAAAAAGUAAAAAUACAAAAUAGAUGUUGCUUAUUUGAUUUUUGCAAACUCCAGACUUCGUGGUUGAUUUAUGCAAAAAUAUAUAAAAAAAUAUUCACUCCCAGUUAGGAUACAGGACUUAAAUGUAAAUACACACUGUGACGGCAGCAAAAAGCAGUUGAACAAAUGUCAAGUCUUACAUUCUUUUUUUUUUUUUUUUUUUUUUAAGGCAGAAUGAGGCAAAGAUAUUCUUGAACUUCAUGUCCACCCUUACAAAAAAGGUACAAUCCUAGAUAGGGAACAGAGAAGACAGUGUUUUCUACAAAAAUGGAUGAGAAAAUAUUUUCAAGUGGAUUUUCAAAGGUACUAGAGGAUUUAGGUUCUCAAUUGCAUGGAGUGGAAUUUGUAGGCUGUGCAGACUUGUCUGUAAAAGGACAAUUCCGCAGCCAAAUCACCUAUUGGGACUAUCAUAUCUGAGGUUUACACCUGCCUCUAGCUGACUUUGCAAGCCACUUGCCCUCUCUGUGCCUCAAGUUCUUUUUCUGUGAAGCAUCAAUUAGGAAAUUAAUUAGGAAAAUGUCGCACAGACAAGUGCUAAUGAUGCACUCAUUGUGGUGUGGUAGGAACAAUUAUUGGAGUCAUUUUGCCACAACUGGAAGCACAAAGUUGGAUUUUGCAUAAGAUUUACUGUAUAUGUAUAGAAUAAAUAAUUUUAUUUGCUCAGAAGAAAAAGAAAUCAAGCAGUACUUGCUACCUCUCUGUUAAAAUGAAGAG